CGCUGCCCUCGGCGAUCCCGAUCCCGAUCCCCUUGACUAAACGCAGCGUGCGAUCCCCUUCCCUCGAGUAAACGCCGCCGAUGACCUCCCAGAUCUUGUGCGAUCUAUCUCGCUGCCGCCUACGUCCGGGGUGGUACCGUCCGGGGUCGAGGCCAACAUCGGCGUCAUCAAGUGCGGACGUCGAGGCCCCCGACUCGUGGGCCGCCGCCGCCAUCAUCUCACCACGGGUCAGGGCGUGGCUGUGACCGCCGUGCGGGCAACGAGGAGCGCCGCAAGGGCGUACCGUGGAAGGCCUGGAUCAAGGAGGAGCACAGAUCGAGCAAGAGAAAGUGUGACGUGUGGGAGAUUGGCCGGGGAGGAUACCGCCGUAGGUGACGCCAUGAACCGAGGCUGAUGUUGGAGAGCCGCGGCUCUGCUUGGGAGCCGACCGGUGAGAGGCAGCUCUCCGAGGUGGUGUUGCCCGUGGCGGGGAGGGACAAUCCAGUGGCCGGCUCGCACCCCUGGACGCUCCUGGGGCGGGCUGCGGUCAUGAGAAUUCUAGGCCAUGAUAGUGAGUGUGACGGGUGCGGGAGCAGCAUGAUGCCAACGACCACGAGCUUUGGGUGCUUAGUGUGUUGGCGAGGCAGAGAAGGGAUGAGAGCGAGAUAGACAUGUGCGUGCAUGGAUUGAGAGAGAGAGAGAGAGGGAGGGAGGGAGAAGAAGAAUUGUGCUGCUGCAGGAACAGGUGUACGUUCUAUAACAUCUAUACUUUAGUUGGAAAUGGCAGCUUCACUGAACUGCAUCAGUUGUAAGCUUCCCUAAAUUCAUAUAUAUCUAUAAAGUAGGGCACUUCUACCUCCCUGUAGUAAUAAAGAAGUAUACUGUAAAAUUCGCAGAUGAUUAAUACUAUUUUGUUUGCAGGUUCAGCCAAUUCCUUUGAGGUAUUAACAAGUAGCCGAGCUUUUGGUAUCAUCUCUACUCAGGGAAAUACAUGUCAAAUCCUCAUACAAAAUGUUGAUCUAUUGUUCUUCUAGAAUUAUAGAUUUCUGAAUAAUUAGAUGGCCAGUUAUGCAACACAAUAUUCCCGUAGUAUUGAAAUCUUAUGUUCUGCAAAGUGUCCUUCAGCAAAUGGCACUUGAACUUAAUAUGGGAUACUCCAAAUCCAUAAGAGCAGGCUAUAUCUGAUAUUUUCUCCAUACAGAGUCGGCAGACUUGAUUUAUGUUUUCCCCUACUUGUCAAUAUGAUGGCCCGUUGUACUUGUCAAUAUGAUGGCCCGUUGUAAAUAAAUGAGGCUUGGGCAUCUCUUUUACUUGGGAACUACUUUUCAGUGACAGCUGUAUUGACGAAGGGAACUACGACGGGCUUACGCCUACCUGAACUAUAUUCUAAAUUAUCAAAGUUUACAGCAGAUUACAGCAGCCUCAAAGGUAAAAUGAUCUGAACAUUUUUUUCACAAUACACUGGUAGUACAUAGUAAUAGCCCUCUUAAUAAUUUCUAUAUAAAAGUAGGAUCUGAACAUUUUGUUGAGUUGUUUUUGCACCAGAUCAUUGGCCAUUAGCGGUUAUCUACGGCACUAAAACUUGUUGAUCUCAACACAUUCACCUCACAACACUUGUUGGCUGAAACAUGUGCAUUAGCACCAAAGAAGUUGAGGUCAAAUUAAUGAGGUGAUAGCUAAACCCUUAUACUGAAUAUAUUUGUGUUUUCUUUUGCUUCAAGUAUGUAGACAUAUAUUCCUUGAUCAAAACUCAUCUACACUACUGCCACUAAUUUGCUUCAGGUCAUCGACUUUAAGAUUGAUACAUAUGUUUCUCUUAUUAUGCAGGAGUUGUGUGAUCUGAGGAGAAACUAUUCUCUUGCAAAUCGGAUAGUUGUUGUAGGAAUUAAAAGGCACAUGAUUGUACUUGGAUUUUGUUUCUACACGUUCCUCGGCCCUAAUGUCUACAUGAGGUGUGAGUGCAACGGGUUGAGGAAAUCACAUUACUAUAAGAAUGAUGCCGCAGCAAAGAAAAUGCUGUCAGCCUUGGACGAUCCAUUCACUCGAUUCUUGAAACCAUUACCCAUUUUGAAGCAAGAAUAGCUAGCACCCAAGGUGCCCUUGCAGGUGUAGGUUUAUCCAUUGGCUACCCAUUGGAGCAUCACUUGCAGGGCUCUCUGUAAUGUCACUUUUUGUAGAAAUGACUCUCUAGAGACGCAACAUAAGAGCGCAAAACAUUUGACAGCAGAUUGCUUAUGAUAACACAUCCAAGGAAGGAAGGAGAUUGAGGUCGGCGCCUCCUGAAGGCAUGCAUGCUCGUCACUGAGAGAGGGAAGGGCAUCUCUUUUUUUGGGUUGCAAUUUCCACCUUGUUGUUGGGUGAGACAUGGGGUGCAUGGCAAAAUUAGGACAGACUGAAGGCAGCAGAUUCCGUGUCGGCCGUGCACUUUGAGGAGGACAUUGUCUUUGUAUAAGUGCCCUACAAUCGUCCCUUUAUAGCCACAGAUAAGGCCUUCAGAUGGAUAUGGCCGCAUAAAUCGCACCGAUGGAUCCAGUCCUUCGCCAGGUCCAACGUGCCUGCACCGGCCUCAAGCACGGGAGACACUAUUACCUUGUGAUCUAACUGGUUACCACAAUCAAAUCCAUUUUUGCCCAUUUAAAUUAGUUAGCUCAGUUUUGUUGAUAACUGAGUUUCAUUGGUUAUAUAUACUGAAGUGUCUUUGUCAUUCUGUUUUACAAUAUAUUCUAAUUGUCAGGAUUUUUGCUACAUUUCUGGUGUAGAUUUUAGGGACAUUACCGUAGUGCUAAUGCCUUCCGUGCAGGUUAUUCAGUCAGCGCAUAUUCUGUCUUUUGGCAUGUGUAUGCUUUGCUCUUGUGCCCAUGUAAUCGUGACCUGUAAUCAGUCCAUGAUCCUUGUGUGACGUGAUCACAGAAGUUGGGCAUAACAGCAUUGUUACUGAGAAGAUGCGAAUAUUAACUUAGGGAUCGGAGCUGAAGCUCUGGCUGAUAGCAAAGAUAUGAAGUCUUAGCUCUGUCUAUGUUUGCAAGUAUAUUGUUGUGACUUUUGCCCCCGUACUGGGCAGAUGCUUCAGA